GGGUAGAGCUCAGUGGUAGAGCAUGUGCUUAGCAUGCACAGGAUCUUGGGUUCAAUUCCCAGUCAUUCCA
rnacentral:tRNA from 1 species